rnacentral:rRNA from 1 species
GACGAACGCUGGCGGCGUGCUUAACACAUGCAAGUCGAACGGAAAGGCCCUGCUUUUGUGGGGUGCUCGAGUGGCGAACGGGUGAGUAACACGUGAGUAACCUGCCCUUGACUUUGGGAUAACUUCAGGAAACUGGGGCUAAUACCGGAUAGGAGCUCCUGCUGCAUGGUGGGGGUUGGAAAGUUUCGGCGGUUGGGGAUGUACUCGCGGCUUAUCAGCUUGUUGGUGGGGUAGUGGCUUACCAAGGCUUUGACGGGUAGCCGGCCUGGGAGGGUGACCGGCCACAUUGGGACUGAGAUACGGCCCAGACUCCUACGGGAGGCAACAGUGGGGAAUAUUGCACAAUGGGCGGAAGCCUGAUGCAGCAACGCAGCGUGCGGGAUGACGGCCUUCGGGUUGUAAACCGCUUUCGCCUGUGACGAAGCGUGAGUGACGGUAAUGGGUAAAGAAGCACCGGCUAACUACGUG